GCAAGUCGCACGAGAAAGUGGACUUCGGUUCAUGAGUAAAGUGGCAGACGGGUGAGUAACACGUGGAUAACCUGCCCCUUAGUGGGGAAUAACCCAGGGAAACUUGGGCUAAUACCGCAUAACAUCGUUUUCUCCCUGGGGAAAACGAUUAAAGGUGGGGAUCGAAAGACCUACCGCUAUGGGAGGGGUCCGCGUCUGAUUAGCUUGUUGGUGGGGUAAUGGCCUACCAAGGCUUCGAUCAGUAGCCGGCCUGAGAGGGUGACC
rnacentral:rRNA from 1 species